GCCAGUGUGGUGUAGUGGUUUGAGCAAUGGACUACAGCUUCGGAGAUCAGAGUUCGACUCACACCUUGGCC